rnacentral:rRNA from 1 species
GAUGAACGCUAGCGGCAGGCUUAAUACAUGCAAGUCGUGGGGCAGCAUGAGUGUAGCAAUACAUUUGAUGGCGACCGGCAAACGGGUGCGGAACACGUACACAACCUUCCUAUAAGUGGGGAAUAGCCCAGAGAAAUUUGGAUUAAUACCCCGUAACAUAAUGAUGUGGCAUCACAUUAUUAUUAUAGCUUCGGCGCUUAUUGAUGGGUGUGCGGCUGAUUAGAUAGUUGGCGGGGUAACGGCCCACCAAGUCUACGAUCAGUAGCUGAUGUGAGAGCAUGAUCAGCCACACGGGCACUGAGACACGGGCCCGACUCCUACGGGAGGCAGCAGUAAGGAAUAUUGGUCAAUGGACGCAAGUCUGAACCAGCCAUGCCGCGUGAAGGAUUAAGGUCCUCUGGAUUGUAAACUUCUUUUAUCUGGGACGAAAAAAGGCGAUUCUUCGUCACUUGACGGUACCAGAUGAAUAAGCACCGGCUAACUCCGUGCCAGCCGCCGCAGUAAUAC